GCACUGGUUUAGCUCAGUGGUUACUUCCUCUGGAAUUUCAUCUUCCUGAUGAUCCACAGUGCUUUCCUCAUCUGAGGGAUCAAACCAUGAGUGCUGCUCAGUGUUUUU
rnacentral:vault_RNA from 1 species